UUACUCUCCUUAAAUGUGAUGUGAAUAUUGUUUCUAGCAAAACCUGACAACACCGUACUCAUAUCCCUACCAGCAGAUGGGAUAUUGGUAUCCUCAAGGUUAUCCUCAAGUGCAGGGUCAGUUCAUGCAGUAUCCGUAUGGACAGUACUAUGGUCAAGGAUUUGGUAUGGGUGCUCAGAUGGCCUGGCAAGGAAAUCCAGGACAGUCACAAAUGGCAGCAGCUGCUACCCAGAGCCUCAUUGGACAACAGGCUGGAGUGAUAGGUGCCUAUCCCAUGCAGCAGUACCAGGUACAAUAAGUCUCAUCUGCUUCAUGAAUCAGUCAACCCAGUUUUGGAAUAACUAUUCCUACCAAACUCCUUUUUCCUGGCUAAGAGAUUACCAGUCAGGCUUGUUCAUGAAGGGGUGCCUGGUUGAUUUGAUGACAGUUCUCUGGUUCUUCUAUGACUCGUCUGUACCCUCUUGCCCACAGAUUAACAGUCUUUGGAGAAAUGAUUUGGAGUUAGGUUGGAUUGUUAUCAUUUUAGACAGGGAAAUUUACUUGUUUAGCUAGGACCAUUUGAUUUCAACAUUUUAUAUGGCUAGAACACCAUUUUUGGUGCAGUUAAGAGCAUGUAGUUUUUCUCUAGCUUACCAGAUUAGAGCCUAACCUGCCUCCAAGUCACCUCUCCUGAUUCACAAAUUCCUUUUUAAUGUUACAGAAGAAGGGAUAAAUUACAUAUAAAGAGUGUAUAUACAUAUAUAUGUGUGUGUGUGUUGUUUUACAGAUAUCUAGUUAUUAGUGUGAGGUAUAUGUUCAUUGUACGUAAGUAGACAUGAAGCUAUAAUCGCCUUGCCUUACUUCAUCAGUGUGUAUUAUACACAACCAAGUCACUUUGCUUACUUGCUUUUUUCUCAACUUUGUAAAAGUCACUGCGUAACAAGUGUAGCUUAAAAAGUAUGAUAGGAAGAUAUAAGUAAUGUGUUCAGUGUGCAUGUGCACAACAGAAAGUUUAAAAUCAAGAAAAAUGUGUACAAAACUCCUUUGUGACGCUUAAACCCUGUUUAGUGUACUGUAAUUUUUCUAUUUUGUUUUAACCAUGAACAACCUGAUAAUUUUAUGGAAAAUCAAACUCUUUAUUGUUAACAUGGAAGAUGUUUCUUAAAUUCCUCUACACUUAUUGGGUACUUGUGUGAUUUUUUCAAGCAAGCAGAAUGUUUUCCUUUGUAUCAUUCUUCAGCUGUUCUGUGUUUUCCAGUUAUUUCAUAACAUCCUAGUCUACUUGUUCUAUGUGUCCCAACUCUAGGAAGUACUUGUUAGCUCCCUGCACAAUAACUGUUCUGAAAACAGUUGGAUAGUAGUUGGAGUGUGAUGAAAAGCCCUCUCCUUCUUAAGAAACACAUUAGUCAGUGUUGAAAAACCUUCUAUCUUAAGGAACUGGGAUUGAACUGUUGAAAAGCCCUCUCCUAUUUUAAGAAACAAAUUAGUUAGUCUUAAAAAUUCUUAAUAAAUAGAAAUUAGUCAGAGACUGUAAAAAAGCCCCCUCCUGUUUUAAGAAACUGAAAUUAGUCAGAGACUGUAAAAAAGCCCCCUCCUGUUUUAAGAAACUGAAAUUAGUCAGAGACUGUAGAUAAGCUCUCUCCUGUCUUCAGAAACCAAAUAGUCAGUGGUGAAAACCUAUCUUCUAUCUUAAGAAAUUAUAACUUGUCAGAAUAUUGAAAACCCUCUCCUAUCUUAAAAACAUGAAAUCAAAGUAAAAGUGAAGACUUGUGACACGUGUUACCUGCAGACCAAGUGAUUUAAAAGGUAGAAACUAACUAUAAGGCUGAUAUUUAAAACAGUUGGUUAUUAAAAUUUUGAAUAUAAUGUAGGUUUCUAAUAAUCGACAAAAGUGGAAUAUAGCACGUUCAUAAAGGAAUUCAAACAUCUCUUAAGUUGAACAUUCACUAUUCUCAAAAUAUGAAAACUUGGUUUUUCCAUCAUGUUUAACUAAAGGUAUAUAUAUAUAUAUAUAUUUGUAACAUUAAUUAUCUAUUUGUUGCUCUCAUGGGAGUUCUAACUUUCAUAUUUUAGUUUCAUCAAGCUAGAUAUUUCAAAAGAUAAUCUUAUACCUAAAGAUAGUGAUUCAUUGUAAAGAAUAAAGCUUAUUUUUACGUACUAGAAGAAGGUGCUGUAAACACUGACUGAUUGUAAACUGAAAGAAUAAUGUGUCAGGUUAACUGGAAGAACUUUCUCAAGGUGCUGUAAACACUGACUGAUUGUAAACUGAAAGAAUAAUGUGUCAGGUUAACUGGAAGAACUUUCUCAAGGUGCUAUAAACACUGACUCUUUGUAAACUGAAUGGAUAAAGUGUCGAUUUGUGUGUCAGGUUGACUGAAAGAAGGCGCUGUAAACACUGAAUCAUUUUAAAUUAAGAGGAAAAAGGAAGUGAGCAAUGUACAAUUUGUUUCUUUGAGGUAAUCAUCAUUUAGCUCUGAUAUCAUGUGACAGGUAAGGUAUCUGUCAUUUUGGACUGAAGAUGCAUGGGAGCAUGUGAAUUCUUUUCUAGAAAUAAACAGUAUGACAUUAGCAUAGUAUAGAUGUAGACAUUAGUGAUAGUUACUACUCAAACUCAGGAGUUCUUUCAUUAUAUACAGAAAGUUGAGAUGAUGAAGUAAACUAGGUGUAAUUCAUUCUUUCCUCUCUUAUGAAGGAGAGUUUGUUUCUGUGAUAGUUUGCGAUUGUCCUGUUCAAGCAAAGUUGUCUUUCUAGAGUAAUGAAUUAACUCAUGUUUUUAAGUAAGGUAGGGUUUGUUUUAAGGCAAAGGUUUUGAUAAAAAAACAUCAUUAUUAAAGUUUCAUCAAUAUCAUAACUUUAGUAUUUACUUCAUAAGAAAUUUGGCUUCUUUAUUUUAUGUAAAGUGAUUUGGAAAAUGUACACAACUUCAACUUUGCUGAAGAAUUAGCCUGAUCGAAGAGUUCUGAAUGAAUCUUUAACUGAACUAUUUAAUAAAUAAAUAAAUAACACACAGUGCUGAAUGGAAAAUCGUGAAAAAGGAGGUGAACUACAAACUGUUCUUUCAUUAAAUAAUUGUAUCACUGAACACAUACAUUUAAUUGACUGUUGAUAUUUGGCAAGGUAUAGUUAAAUAACUGGUGUAUUAGGUUUGUGGAAAAUUGUGUUACAGUGUGUGCUCUUUCUGUUGUAUGAAAAGAAAUGAAGAAAAUACUUCAAAUAAAAUGAUACAUUUUUACAUA
rnacentral:lncRNA from 1 species